CAGCAGCCGCGGUAAUACGGAGGGUGCGAGCGUUAAUCGGAUUUACUGGGCGUAAAGCGUGCGUAGGCGGCUUUUUAAGUCGGAUGUGAAAUCCCUGAGCUUAACUUAGGAAUUGCAUUCGAUACUGGGAAGCUAGAGUAUGGGAGAGGAUGGUAGAAUUCCAGGUGUAGCGGUGAAAUGCGUAGAGAUCUGGAGGAAUACCGAUGGCGAAGGCAGCCAUCUGGCCUAAUACUGACGCUCAGGUGCGAAAGCGUGGGGAGCAAACAGGAUUAGAUACCCCCGUAGUCCCUGUCUCUUAUAC
rnacentral:rRNA from 1 species